rnacentral:piRNA from 1 species
UACCAAAGUGCUUCCUUUAGUGUUGCUGA